GAAGUCGGCAAAACGGAUCCGUAACCUUGGGAUAAGGAUUGGCUCUGAGGACAGCCGGUCGGGCUGGGGACCUGAAGCAGGAACGGCACUGCAUUGGGACUGGGCAAGGCUCGCCGUUCACGCGGCGCGGCAAAGCCCGGACCAGCGUCGGAAUCUUUCUGUGGAAAGCCUCAGCUGCGCAGCGUCUGAGGGCUUCGUGCCCAAAGUGCUUUGCUUCGGUCGGCAAAAAACAGUUAACUCAGAACUGGCACGGACCGGGGGAAUCCGACUGUCUAAUUAAAACAAAGCGUUGCGAUGGCCGCUGGUUGGUGUUGACACACUGUGAUUUCUACCCAGUUUUCUGAAUGCCAACUUGAAGCGAUUGAUCAAAACGCGGGUAAACACCGGGAGUAACUAUGACUCUCUCUUGUGGCGGGAUUAGCGCACGCGCGGAACACAGAGUAGCCCCAGUUU
rnacentral:rRNA from 1 species